GAUGUCGUGGCCGAGUGGUUAUGGCGUUAGUCUUGAAUUAUAAGUCAAGGCCUUACAGGUCGCUAACUAAUUCGCAUUGCGAGCGCAGGUUCAAACCCUGCCGACAUCG